GGAGGAGGACUCAGAAUAGGGAGUUAGCCAAGCCCCCAUAUGGGUGAAACAUGAUUUUCGCCCAUACGUCGAUUUAUCCAUACAUAGGAAGGGGGGAAUGUUCAAAAAGACGUGUACCUUUUUGCAAAAUACUGUUGUAACUGUAUUUCAUGUGGAUGCUCAUGUUCCUCUUGACUCAUUGGAACGUUUGUUUAAUUCUCAAGCAGAUGCUGAAGCGGCUAUUUACAACAUCCAACAAAGAAAUCAUUGAAAAAGAAACAUAAUGGUUCUCAUUUCACUGGAAAACAAGUAAAGGAUUAUGCAACUGACAAUAAUAUAGAAUGGGUAUAUCAUAUUCCCUACUAUCCCCAAGCAGCAGGGUUAUUCGAAAGAAUGAAUGGUAUUCUGAAAGCAACCCUAAAGAAAUUAUCAGGAAAGGAUAACGUAUUUGGUCAAUGGAGAGAUAAUUUAUCCGAAGCCUUACAAAUUAUCAAUAAUAGGCCUAUAACUGAUUCCACUACUCCAUUGAUGAGAAUGUUAACUCCAAAUUUAGAAGUAUCAGCUGCAAAAAUUGAUAGUAUCAUCUAUUGGAAAUUACAUAAGGAUGCCCAAGCACCUUAUCGAGGAACACCAGCAUUGGUUGGACUAGAUUUAUAUUCUGUUGAUACUAUAAUAAUUGCACCUGGACAAGUAAAAAUGAUUCCUACUUGAUAAAAGAGCCUUUUGUGGCCAGCCCCCUUUCAUAAGGCUCUCAAAAGGAGAUAAGAUUACUGUACGUUUCUGUGCCAGAAAACAGGAUAUAAAGUGUCGAACCUGAAGGAAUUCAAAAAAUCUUAUUGGGAUUUCUGGUGUUUUGGCUUGCAGGUCUCCGAACUGGAGAACAUGGGAGGCAUCCCUAAUAAAGAACCAUUGGUGUUUCCUUGGAAUCCUUGGGAUCUGGUGUUUGGCAUCAAACGGAAGCGCAUGGACUCCGGGGAUACGAGUGACUAAUACCCAUAAUUCCACUCGCAAUUGGGGAUGGAAAAAUGAUACUUCUAAUCGAACAGAAUAUAUGGACCACUUAAGAAAAAUGGGUAUACAAAACGUAACUGGACAAUAUAAUUGGACUUUUACUGCCAAUAGUAAAUGGAUAAUAUGUGCAAAUGCUACUAACAUUGCUUAAAGAAGAGUACCUUGGCAAUCUUUAUUGCAUGUCUGGAAUAUAGAUUCUGCUACUCAAAACCUCGGACAUAAUAAAAGAUUGCCGGCUACCUCUAUACCUGUUGCUACAAUAGGACAAAAAAUUAUAUUGCAUAUUAAUAUUUUAUUUCCUGCCAAGAGAUCAUAUCAUAAUGCGAGACGUAAAAGAGCAUGGUAUGAUACCCUUUUAGGGGGAUAUGGUACAUUGGCAGGAACGUUAAAUAGUUUUGACAUAGAAACUUUAGCUAAUAGAAUGCACAAGGCAGGAGGCUUAACUAAUGAUGCUGUAAUGUGGCAAGCUAAAUGGAUGCCAACUAUUUGGGCCCCAUUACAACAACAAGUUGAAAUUGAUAAAAAUAUCAAUAAUAUGGAAUUGGAAGUUAAUAAUUUCAGUUUGAAUUUUGAUACUAACAUGACAAAAUUUGUUAACUGGACAGUAUGUACAUUGCAGACUAUUUAUGAACAACAACAAAAAGAUAAUAUGAAAACUUUAGUAAUGACGGGUAAUGAACAAGUAUGGAGAACCGUGUUUAAUAGAACACAAGAAUGGAUACAAAUAUAUCCACAUCAAAUGGUCUGCAAUGACACCAUAUGUAAAGGAACUGUGAUACUGUUUAAUAUAACACGUCCCACUAUUAUGUGUAAAUAUAUAGUAAUGCCUUUAAUUAUCUCUGGAUAUUUUGGCAGCCUUUAUUUGUAGGACCAUAUAUAGAGAACAAAAAUAGAACACACAAUUUAGAAAAUUGUGAAGAUACAUAUAAUGGGAAAGUUUGUAAAUUACAGUAUAUGAACCAUGUUUAUUACAAAAUACGAUUAAUGUAUGUGAAUGGACAAUAUUCCCAAUAACUUAUAAAUGGAUGGUGGAAAUUGCCCCACAAACUAUUUGUAUGGCAACCAGUACACCAGUGAUUGGGAAAAUGAUAGUACCAUUUUCAGGAUGUUUACAGAAUGUGUCAUUAAUCACAUGGGAAAAUGAAACGUUUGUCUUAACUCAAGAUAUAGAUUUGUCUAUAAAUAUCGAAUUUUUCUCCUCCUGAAAUGUUAGAAUGAAUCAAUGGAAUUUUAAUUUGUCUAAAUUAGAAGAAAUAAUUAAUAAAUCUAAUAUGGUUUCUCAAGCUAUACAGUCGCUUAAUCAGAGCCUUGCGAGUCACAUGCUUAGUACAACUAUUAUCAGUAAUAAAUUAAUUAAAAUAGGAUCUGCCAUAGCAGAUGCUACAUCCCAUCAUUGGUGGGACAUGUUCACUGGAUACUCUCCCUCUGCUAAACAAAUGUUAAAUUGGAUAAUACAUCCAGUAUUAAUUUUAUGCGCAGUGAUAAUUCUAUUAUCACUGUGGAAUUGUUUUAUCGCUUAUAAAUUGUUUUGUAAGCCACCAAGAGCUUUACCAGUCACAUACAGCACAGGUCAUUAAGGACCGAUUGUGAUACGAGUCUGAUGUACUUGAUGAUGAAUGAGUGAUAAGUAACAGAAAGAUAAAAUAACAUCAGAUAGUAUAGAUAGUAAUGGCCUGUGCUGCAGUUACUGUUAAUAAAGAAUAAAGGUUAUUAGAGUACAAACUUGUUGUUGAGCAGAGGGAUGGAUGAUUCACUGACCCUGAAAUACUAUAAUAUUAUGAUUGGACACGGAGUGGCGGACAUGCGCCACACCUCUUCAAAAUAACAUACUACGCAUGUCUGACUCGUGAUUUUUAUAUAACUAUUGCGCAUAACCGUAAGCUAGUAACUAGAUAGCACAAUAUAAUGAAGCUCGUGCAUGAUGCACGAGCCGAUGUAAUAUGUUGUAACAACUGCGCAUGAAUAAUCACGUGUAUUGAAACUAAGACAAUAAAAGAAGGGGAUUUCCAGGAGGAGAACGGGAUAAUUUGUUGGUAGACGCCUGAUCAAUGUCUCGUUGUGAGGUUCCCGGAAUUCUCCUCCUGUGCAGAAUCCCCAGCCGUGGAGUGAUGUUAGAAUAUCCGGUGAUGUAUUGAUGUUAACUCUUUUAUUAUAAUAUACUUAAACAGUUGUACUGUCUUAAUACUAUGUGUACUAAUUAAUUUAAUAAACCACUCUUAUUGAUUUUGA